rnacentral:rRNA from 1 species
CCGCGUGUGUGAUGACGGCCUUCGGGUUGUAAACCUCUUUUGUUGGGGAAGAAAUCCUUGUGGCUAAUACCGGGGUGGAAUGACGGUACCCGUAGAAUAAGCCCCGGCUAACUACGUGCCAGCAGCCGCGGUAAUACGGAAGGUGCGAGCGUUAAUCGGAAUUACUGGGCGUAAAGCGUGCGUAGGGGGUCUUUUAAGUCCGAUGUGAAAUCCCCGGGCUCAACCUGGGAACUGCAGUGGAGACUGGGAGACUGGAGUUCGGGGGAUGGCGGUGGAAUUCCUGGAGUACCAGUGAAACGCCUAUAGAUGAGGAGGAACACUGAUGGCUAACGCACCCUCCUGGACCAAUACUGACGCUCAUG